GUAACGGCGAGCGAAGCGGCAACAGCUCAAAUUUGAAAUCUGGCUAUUUUGUAGUCCGAGUUGUAAUUUGUAGAGGAUGCUUUUGGUGAGGUGCCUUCCGAGUUCCCUGGAACGGGACGCCAGAGAGGGUGAGAGCCCCGUACGGUUGGAUACCAAACCUUUGUAUAGCUCCUUCGACGAGUCGAGUAGUUUGGGAAUGCUGCUCUAAAUGGGAGGUAUAUCUCUUCUAAAGCUAAAUAUAGGCUAGAGACCGAUAGCGCACAAGUAGAGUGAUCGAAAGAUGAAAAGCACUUUGAAAAGAGAGUUAAACAGCACGUGAAAUUGUUGAAAGGGAAGCGCCUAUGACCAGACUUGUUUCUUUCAGUUUUGUUAGUUUUCGGACUGAUUUACUCUGUUAGUACAGGCCAGCAUCAGUUUGUUGUCAGGGAGAAAGGCUUAGGGAAUGUGGCUCUUUCGGGAGUGUUAUAGCCCUUUGCAUAAUACCUUUCGGCAGACUGAGGACCGCGCUUCGGCAAGGAUGCUGGCGUAAUGGUCAUCAGCGACCCGUCUUGAAACACGGACCAAGGAGUCAACCUUAUGUGCGAGUGUUUGGGUGUAAAACCCCAGCGCGUAAUGAACGUGAACGUAGGUGAGAGCUUCGGCGCAUCAUCGACCGAUUCUGAUGUUCUCGGAUGGAUUUGAGUAAGAGCACACAGGGUUGGACCCGAAAGAAGGUGAACUAUGCUUGUAUAGGGUGAAGCCAGAGGAAACUCUGGUGGAGGCUCGCAGCGGUUCUGACGUGCAAAUCGAUCGUCAAAUAUGAGCAUGGGGGCAAAA
rnacentral:rRNA from 1 species